CCUAGCGGCGGACGGGUGAGUAAUGCUUAGGAAUCUGCCUAUUAGUGGGGGACAACAUUCCGAAAGGAAUGCUAAUACCGCAUACGUCCUACGGGAGAAAGCAGGGGACCUUCGGGCCUUGCGCUAAUAGAUGAGCCUAAGUCGGAUUAGCUAGUUGGUGGGGUAAAGGCCUACCAAGGCGACGAUCUGUAGCGGGUCUGAGAGGAUGAUCCGCCACACUGGRACUGAGACACGGCCCAGACUCCUACGGGAGGCAGCAGUGGGGAAUAUUGGACAAUGGGGGGAACCCUGAUCCAGCCAUGCCGCGUGUGUGAAGAAGGCCUUUUGGUUGUAAAGCACUUUAAGCGAGGAGGAGGCUACUAGUAUUAAUACUACUGGAUAGUGGACGUUACUCGCAGAAUAAGCACCGGCUAACUCUGUGCCAGCAGCCGCGGUAAUACAGAGGGUGCGAGCGUUAAUCGGAUUUACUGGGCGUAAAGCGUGCGUAGGCGGCUGAUUAAGUCGGAUGUGAAAUCCCUGAGCUUAACUUAGGAAUUGCAUUCGAUACUGGUCAGCUAGAGUAUGGGAGAGGAUGGUAGAAUUCCAGGUGUAGCGGUGAAAUGCGUAGAGAUCUGGAGGAAUACCGAUGGCGAAGGCAGCCAUCUGGCCUAAUACUGACGCUGAGGUACGAAAGCAUGGGGAGCAAACAGGAUUAGAUACCCUGGUAGUCCAUGCCGUAAACGAUGUCUACUAGCCGUUGGGGCCUUUGAGGCUUUAGUGGCGCAGCUAACGCGAUAAGUAGACCGCCUGGGGAGUACGGUCGCAAGACUAAAACUCAAAUGAAUUGACGGGGGCCCGCACAAGCGGUGGAGCAUGUGGUUUAAUUCGAUGCAACGCGAAGAACCUUACCUGGUCUUGACAUAGUAAGAACUUUCCAGAGAUGGAUUGGUGCCUUCGGGAACUUACAUACAGGUGCUGCAUGGCUGUCGUCAGCUCGUGUCGUGAGAUGUUGGGUUAAGUCCCGCAACGAGCGCAACCCUUUUCCUUAUUUGCCAGCGGGUUAAGCCGGGAACUUUAAGGAUACUGCCAGUGACAAACUGGAGGAAGGCGGGGACGACGUCAAGUCAUCAUGGCCCUUACGACCAGGGCUACACACGUGCUACAAUGGUCGGUACAAAGGGUUGCUACCUAGCGAUAGGAUGCUAAUCUCAAAAAGCCGAUCGUAGUCCGGAUUGGAGUCUGCAACUCGACUCCAUGAAGUCGGAAUCGCUAGUAAUCGCGGAUCAGAAUGCCGCGGUGAAUACGUUCCCGGGCCUUGUACACACCGCCCGUCACACCAUGGGAGUUUGUUGCACCAGAAGUAGGUAGUCUAACCGCAAGGAGGACGC
rnacentral:rRNA from 1 species